rnacentral:rRNA from 1 species
AAUCAACGCUGGCGGCGUGCCUCAGACAUGCAAGUCGAACGAUUAAAGCUCUCUUCGGAGAGUGUAUAGAGUGGCGCACGGGUGAGUAACACGUAAGUAAUCUACCCUCGAGUGGGGAAUAACAACCGGAAACGGUUGCUAAUACCGCAUAAUGCAGCGGCACCGCAAGGUGACAGUUGUUAAAGAUUUAUCGCUUGAGGAGGAGCUUGCGGCAGAUUAGCUAGUUGGUAGGGUUACGGCUUACCAAGGCUACGAUCUGUAACCGGUCUAAGAGGACGGUCGGUCACACUGACACUGAAUAACGGGUCAGACUCCUACGGGAGGCAGCAGUCGGGAAUUUUGGGCAAUGGCGAAAGCCUGACCCAGCAACGCCGCGUGAAGGAUGAAGUAUUUCGGUAUGUAAACUUCGAAAGAAUAGGAAGAAUUAA